ACGGAAGGCAGCAGUGGGGAAUAUUGGACAAUGGGGGAAACCCUGAUCCAGCGACGCCGCGUGAGUGAAGAAGUAUUUCGGUAUGUAAAGCUCUAUCAGCAAGGAAGAAAAUGACGGUACUUGACUAAGAAGCUCCGGCUAAAUACGUGCCAGCAGCCGCGGUAAUACGUAUGGAGCAAGCGUUAUCCGGAUUUACUGGGUGUAAAGGGAGCGUAGACGGCAAAGCAAGUCUGAAGUGAAAUCCCGGGGCGCAACCCCGGAACUGCUUUGGAAACUGUUUAGCUAGAGUGCAGGAGAGGUAAGCGGAAUUCCUAGUGUAGCGGUGAAAUGCGUAGAUAUUAGGAGGAACACCAGUGGCGAAGGCGGCUUACUGGACUGUAACUGACGUUGAGGCUCGAAAGCGUGGGGAGCAAACAGGAUUAGAUACCCUGGUA
rnacentral:rRNA from 1 species